AUUGAACGCUGGCGGCAUGCUUUACACAUGCAAGUCGGACGAGUGGCGAACGGGUGAGUAACGCAUCGGAACGUACCGAGUUUUGGGGGAUAACUGUCCGAAAGGACAGCUAAUACCGCACAUUAUUCGAGCGGCCGAUGUCUGAUUAGCUGGUUGGCGGGGUAAAGGCCCACCAAGGCGACGAUCUGUAGCGGGUCUGAGAGGAUGAUCAGCCCCACUGGGCCUGAGACACGGCCCAGACUCCGACGGGAGGCAGCAGUGGGGAAUUUUGUACAAUGGGCGCUAGCCUGAUCCAGCCAUGCCGCGUGUCGGAAGAAGGCCUUCGGGUUGUAAAGGAAUUUUGUCAGGGAAGCGGUACCUGAAGAAUAAGCACCGGCUAACUACGUGCCAGCCGCCGCGGUAAUUC
rnacentral:rRNA from 1 species